AGUGAACGCUGGCGGUAGGCCUAACACAUGCAAGUCGAACGGCAGCACAGUAAGAGCUUGCUCUUACGGGUGGCGAGUGGCGGACGGGUGAGGAAUACAUCGGAAUCUACUUUUUCGUGGGGGAUAACGUAGGGAAACUUACGCUAAUACCGCAUACGACCUACGGGUGAAAGCAGGGGAUCUUCGGACCUUGCGCGAUUGAAUGAGCCGAUGUCGGAUUAGCUAGUUGGCGGGGUAAAGGCCCACCAAGGCGACGAUGCGUAGCUGGUCUGAGAGGAUGAUCGGCCACACUGGAACUGAGACACGGUCCAGACUCCUCCGGGAGGCCGCAGUAGGGAAUCUUCCACAAUGGGCGAAAGCCUGACGGAGCAAUGCCGCGUGAGUGAUGAAGGUCUUCGGAUCGUAAAACUCUGUUAUUAGGGAAGAACAAAUGUGUAAGUAACUAUGCGCGUCCUGACGGUACCUAAUCAGAAAGCCACGGCUAACUACGUG
rnacentral:rRNA from 1 species